rnacentral:rRNA from 1 species
AAUGAACGCUGGCGGCAGGCCUAACACAUGCAAGUCGAACGGUAGCACAGAGAGCUUGCUCUCGGGUGACGAGUGGCGGACGGGUGAGUAAUGUCUGGGAAACUGCCCGAUGGAGGGGGAUAACUACUGGAAACGGUAGCUAAUACCGCAUAACGUCGCAAGACCAAAGUGGGGGACCUUCGGGCCUCACACCAUCGGAUGUGCCCAGAUGGGAUUAGCUAGUAGGUGGGGUAAUGGCUCACCUAGGCGACGAUCCCUAGCUGGUCUGAGAGGAUGACCAGCCACACUGGAACUGAGACACGGUCCAGACUCCUACGGGAGGCAGCAGUGGGGAAUAUUGCACAAUGGGCGCAAGCCUGAUGCAGCCAUGCCGCGUGUAUGAGGAAGACCUUCGGGUUGUAAAGUACUUUCAGCGGGGAGGAAGGCGGUGAAGUUAAUAACUUCACCGAUUGACGUUACCCGCAGAAGAAGCACCGGCUAACUCCGUGCCAGCCGCCGCAGUAA